rnacentral:misc_RNA from 1 species
GGUGGAUGUGGAUGAAUUGAAGACGGUUGCUCAGGAUUGGGCUGUGGAAGCAAUGCCAACUUUCAUAUUCCUGAGAGAGGGAACUAUUUUGGACAAGGUAGUGGGAGCAAAUAAAGAUAAACUGCAUGAGACUAUUGCAAAGCACAUGGCUACUGCUUCUGCAUGAAGAUAUAAUUUCCUUGUGUCUUUACCAUUGUCAUUAGUAAUUUGUGUUCUUUUAAACCUUAGAUCAUAUUUGAGGUAGACUGUUUUUUAAAAAGUACUAUUUGAUGAUGUUGAAAAAAUAAACAUAUUGAACUGGUUUCCAUGAUUCUAUCAUUGUAUGGCAUAGGGUUCUUUUAUUGGAAUUGGUUUGCUUAUUUUUCUUUGCUU